UAGCCGCCAAGAGGCAGCCGGGGACAUG
rnacentral:sRNA from 1 species